rnacentral:pre_miRNA from 1 species
UCAAGACUUGAAAACUUCAACUUGCAGACUUAAAGAAUUUGAAGACCUCAACUUGCAGACUUGAAGAAUUUGAAGACCUCAACU